GAUGAACGCUGGCGGCGUGCCUAAUACAUGCAAGUCGAGCGAACAGACGAGGAGCUUGCUCCUCUGACGUUAGCGGCGGACGGGUGAGUAACACGUGGAUAACCUACCUAUAAGACUGGGAUAACUUCGGGAAACCGGAGCUAAUACCGGAUAAUAUAUUGAACCGCAUGGUUCAAUAGUGAAAGACGGUUUUGCUGUCACUUCUAGAUGGAUCCGCGCCGCAUUAGCUAGUUGGUAAGGUAACGGCUUACCAAGUCGACGAUGCGUAGCCGACCUGAGAGGGUGAUCGGCCACACUGGAACUGAGACACGGUCCAGACUCCUACGGGAGGCAGCAGUAGGGAAUCUUCCGCAAUGGGCGAAAGCCUGACGGAGCAACGCCGCGUGAGUGAUGAAGGUCUUCGGAUCGUAAAACUCUGUUAUUAGGGAAGAACAAAUGUGUAAGUAACUAUGCACGUCUUGACGGUACCUAAUCAGAAAGCCACGGCUAACUACGUG
rnacentral:rRNA from 1 species